AACGCACGAGACCUGCGGACCUGCGGAGGGAUCAUUAGAGAGUGUUAUAACUCCCAAACCCAUGUGAACAUACCUCUCGUUGCCUCGGCGGAGAGAGGGACCGCCCAUCAAAAGACUUACCCGGGUCUUCUGACCUGGGAGGCCGGGUACCCUCCCGCCGCCGCCGGCCCGCGAAACUCUUUUAUUUUGGAACUCUGAAUCAUAAAGCAAAUAAGUUAAAACUUUCAACAAUGGAUCUCU
rnacentral:misc_RNA from 1 species